rnacentral:rRNA from 1 species
GACACCACUCGCCCGUCUCUCUUCUUAGGAAGGGCGUCGGGCGGACUCUGCGUGUUCCGGAGCUCUUCGACGCCUUCGGGUGUCGGGGAAGCGCUCCGAGUGCACCGAAUCUCGUGAANNNNNCCUCUCUUCUGUCUGUGGCCUAGGUUACGCAGAGUUGUUGACGGCGCUCGCACCCGGUCAGACGGGUUCGGCGACUCUCGGCUCGAUACGCGUGGCKUAGCGKCCCUUUWGGUGAGGGGUKUACUGUUUUUCCGGUGGGAAAUUUAUUUCCCUCCGUGUUUUACUACUUUCGUUCG